UCUCAAUACUUAAUAUUUUCAUAUACAGGGUGUUCUCUUAUUGAUAACAGAAAAUGAUUCCAGUAAAUAAAACUUAACAAGACAAAUAGAAAAGCUCUUUACCA